rnacentral:rRNA from 1 species
UGCGAGCGUGACGGCGCGAGCAGGUGCGAAAGCAGGUCAUAGUGAUCCGGUGGUUCUGAAUGGAAGGGCCAUCGCUCAACGGAUAAAAGGUACUCCGGGGAUAACAGGCUGAUACCGCCCAAGAGUUCAUAUCGACGGCGGUGUUUGGCACCUCGAUGUCGGCUCAUCACAUCCUGGGGCUGAAGUAGGUCCCAAGGGUAUGGCUGUUCGCCAUUUAAAGUGGUACGCGAGCUGGGUUUAGAACGUCGUGAGACAGUUCGGUCCCUAUCUGCCGUGGGCGCUGGAGAACUGAGGGGGGCUGCUCCUAGUACGAGAGGACCGGAGUGGACGCAUCACUGGUGUUCGGGUUGUCAUGCCAAUGGCACUGCCCGGUAGCUAAAUGCGGAAGAGAUAAGUGCUGAAAGCAUCUAAGCACGAAACUUGCCCCGAGAUGAGUUCUCCCUGACCCUUUAAGGGUCCUGAAGGAACGUUG